CAGUAGCCGCGGUAAUACAGAGGGUGCGAGCGUUAAUCGGAUUUACUGGGCGUAAGCGUGCGUAGGCGGCUUCUUAAGUCGGAUGUGAAAUCCCUGAGCUUAACUUAGGAAUUGCAUUCGAUACUGGGAAGCUAGAGUAUGGGAGAGGAUGGUAGAAUUCCAGGUGUAGCGGUGAAAUGCGUAGAGAUCUGGAGGAAUACCGAUGGCGAAGGCAGCCAUCUGGCCUAAUACUGACGCUGAGGUACGAAAGCAUGGGGAGCAAACAGGAUUAGAUACCCGUGUAGUCCCUGUCUCUUAUACA
rnacentral:rRNA from 1 species